rnacentral:rRNA from 1 species
AUGGGUGAACAAGUUAUGAGGUUGUGCUCUGUCGAACUGGCACCUUGGGCUUGUUCUGCAUUACAUUUCAUUAAGCCCUACAGUUAUGGGCUGGGUAUGCGCAUAAUUGUGGAGUUGAAGCCUUGGCCAAAAUGGAAAAUCAAUGGUCGUUGUGAGGGCAUGGCUUUAUUUUGGCGGUCUCCUCAUAUGGCAUUCCCUGCAAUAUUUUCAGUAACUACGACCAACGUGUUGCACCAAAUGGAUUGGUGCUAUGUUGUUCAGUGUGUACAACCAACUAAUGCCAUUGGUGAUGCUGCUUUACAGCUGUGUUCUGCAAAAUAUUGGGAUAUCAUGAUGCCUUAUGUUCCAGUUACUCGCUCAUGUGGGCUGCAUCUACUAGGGAGUAGCGUUCUUGCCUUCCUGAGUGUAUGGUUGUACCCAACAUGUGUAGAAACAGUGUUCAGUUUCAUGUUACAGCUUCAAGCCCUCCUGCUGAUAACAAAGUGUUCAGAUCAUGGAACUCUGAGUGCAGCUACAGCUACAAAAAAGCAGUUCGGAAUCAACAAUAGUUCCUUGAUACAAUCUGAUGUUACAGGUACAACACGAUCAAGAGACAAACGUCUUAUUUGCACUCCAUGGAGUUCUUGGGUACUUUGUCUCAUGUUAGCUGAUCGAGGGGAAAAAGAAGAAAGGGUACAUGUCUUUGAUCCCAAGCCUGGUUUACUCUGUUGCUCUUCUCUCGCUCUUUGUACUAGUGAAUGCCAGACCAACUUGAUUCUGCGAGAGAUAGUUGCUGGCAUUUGGUCUUCUCACAACUAUGAGUACAAGGGUGCAGCAUUUUCUGGACACUUACACUUCACAUGCAAGUUUUCUCGAGAUAGUUCAGUUGGCCGCUUUCCCUUUCAGUUCCUUAUACUUCUCCAGACUUGCAGAAUUGAGAUAUAUUUCCCUGGGAUCCAUUGCUCACUGUUGCUAUGGUGGUUCCCAUCUGAUACAAGAUCAAUUCAUGAAUGGACACCUCGUAUCACAAUGUAUAAGCAGGUGCGGAUGUUCAUAGGAUGGCUCAAUUAUGUGAUGAAUCAUCAAUCUCAAGGCAGCAUAGGAACUGCAGUCAUAUUGUUGCAACAUCUCCAGCCUACUAACCAGCUGCUCGAUUCUUUCUGGUCAUGGGCACAAGCAAAAGGAAAGGUAGACCACUACACAAGUUAUGUGCGUGAGUGUUCUUGCUAUCUUUUAUCUAUCAUUUUCUCUGGGUAUCUGGUCAGUGGAGGGCCCAAAUAUUGCACUUGCCUGCUUGCUUUCAAGGACACUGGUUGGUUCAGAUGUAUCAUGUGUGUCCACAAGAUGUCCUACUCUGCAGUUGCAACUCCUUUUGGCAGUGAAAUCAAGUUCUGUUCCUCUGAUCUGACCAUUUGCAAGCGCAUGAUACUACCCUAUGAUCCAGGAGGGUUGGCUCUUCAGCCAGAUGAGAUAGGAGGCACUCAUGGGUCCAACUUGAUCAUCAUCGGCUUGAGGGCAAGCCGAAUUUCAAGGGGUGGAGAGUGUAACACCCCCAAUAUGGGCUGCCACAUUAUGUAUGUAACAUGGGCCUUGGCUACGAGAUGGGCUGGUCAUCGGAGGCUUGGUCGCACACACAAGCUACAUAUGCAACCGGCAAGCACAGGAGGAGGGCAUCGAAGGAAUGAAUCGUUCUCCAAGUCUCUCGUCCCCUGGCUCGAGUUCCUCACCUCCUGCUCUCUCUAUUCCUCUCUUUGCUUGCUGAUUCUCACCCCCGAUUCUCCCUGUAUCCCCCAAUUUAUACCCGAAUAUUGGUAUUAA